rnacentral:tRNA from 1 species
GCCUGGGUGGCUCAGCAGUUGAGCACCUGCCUUCGGCCCAGGACAUGAUCCUGGAGUCCCAGGAUCGAAUCCUGCAUCGGGCU